AAGAUCAGAGUUCCUACUCACUCCCCCUCAAUCACCUCAGUGAUUACUACCUUUAAUCAAUAUUAAAGACAAUUUUGAAGACACACUUCAAACAACUCUUGAUUGUGCUUAACAGCUUUAAUCAAGAUACACAACACUCACGCUUAAAAGCUUAGAGUGACACAACACUUACAACUCAAUGAACAACCUAUACCAAUGCAAUCAUCUAUGUGAUAAUAGCUUGGCUUACAAGAUAUGUCUAAUACAAGACUC
rnacentral:lncRNA from 1 species